rnacentral:piRNA from 1 species
GGUUGCAUUAUAUGUGGAGGCUC